GUCUCGCGCGCGCAGGAAGCGGAGGUGGAAGUUGGGGCGCAGGAAUGUGGCUGUCCCCGCCUGUAAAUCAUGGUUGGGGAGGAGUCGCGGAGGCACCAGGCUGGGGUCUGCAGCGCGCCAUCUGCUGCAGCACACAGGAGGCGCUGAGGCUAGUUGGAGACAGAGUCUCACUGUGUCACCCAGGCUGGAGUGAAGUGGCAUGAUCUUGGCUUACUGAAACCUCCAUCUCCCAGGUUCAAGCGAUUCUCAUGCCUCAGCCACUUGAGUAGCUGGGACUACAGGAUUUCGCCAUGUUCCCCAGGCUGGUCUCAAACUCCUGAACUCAGGCAGCCCGCCUACCUUGGCCUCCCAAAGUGCUAGGAUUACAGCCCAAAUGACCCUCCAAGACCCUCUGGAGGCACCCGCAGUGCUCCUUAAUUUGCAGCUCUACAGAAUGAGACCAGCGUGGCAGCCCCCUUUCAGGACAGCUCCCGAGACGAGACGCGAGAGCAGCCCCUAAAUCUCACCCAGCAAAGCCGUUUCUUCCUAACCGGGCUGGGGAGUGCCGCGCGCUGCCAGCAGAUGGCGACAGAGGAUUAGCCUGCGGAAACCGGGUAAGGGGAGGGCGGAGCUGAGGUGAGAACCCACAUCCCUCAUGCCCAGUGGCAGCAGGACGUGGAAAUGGUUUGCCCAGCCCUCACUUCUCUUGGACAGAGCUUGAGCCUUCUGGGAAACUGCUUUUCCCUGGCUGAGUGAUUAGCGGGGGUGUUAAGUUGGGAAGCUGGACGUUCACUUCCAUGUGCUCCUCUGAGAACCAUCUGUUGGUCUGAUGGUGCUAGAUCUGAAGCUGGUGAGCCUCUUGGGGCGGCCUCAAGGGCUAACAAGAUCUCAAAUGCCCUUCUCUCCAUCAUUUGUGGUAUCCUGGAUUAUUGUGAAAAUGUAUAGGGAUUCCUGGGGAAGAGUUAAGGAUUAAAAUAUAAAGGUUUAAAUAUAAAUAACUUUAUAUAUAUAUGUUUUUUCUUGUAAACCAAUAUGUUAUAUAGUAGGAAGUUUAAUUCCUUAACUUUGGUUUUUCUCCCUAGCCUUUUUAUAGCCAACAAGAGCAAAAGCACACUGCAAUGUCCAAACGAAUUGCAGGCGUUUUCUGCUCCCUGAAGCCUGGGAAUUAAUUUAUAUACUCAGUCCCUUUUCCCUUGGCUGGCCAUUGAAGUAGUUGAACCACAGGAUUGGACUGUCCAGAAUCAUUAGCCAGAGUUCACUGUGAGUGGACGUCUUUUAGUUCUGCUUCAACGCUAUAACCAACCUUUACCAAAAGCAACAACA
rnacentral:lncRNA from 10 species